UAGGGAAUCUUCCACAAUGGGCGAAAGCCUGAUGGAGCAACGCCGCGUGUGUGAUGAAGGGUUUCGGCUCGUAAAACACUGUUGUAAGAGUAGAAUGACAUUGAGAGUAACUGUUCAAUGUGUGACGGUAUCUUACCAGAAAGGAACGGCUAAAUACGUGCCAG
rnacentral:rRNA from 1 species